AUUGAACGCUGGCGGCAGGCCUAACACAUGCCAGUCGAGCGGAUGAAGGGAGCUUGCUCCUGGAUUCAGCGGCGGACGGGUGAGUAAUGCCUAGGAAUCUGCCUGGUAGUGGGGGAUAACGUCCGGAAACGGGCGCUAAUACCGCAUACGUCCUGAGGGAGAAAGUGGGGGAUCUUCGGACCUCACGCUAUCAGAUGAGCCUAGGUCGGAUUAGCUAGUUGGUGGGGUAAAGGCCUACCAAGGCGACGAUCCGUAACUGGUCUGAGAGGAUGAUCAGUCACACUGGAACUGAGACACGGUCCAGACUCCUACGGGAGGCAGCAGUGGGGAAUAUUGGACAAUGGGCGAAAGCCUGAUCCAGCCAUGCCGCGUGUGUGAAGAAGGUCUUCGGAUUGUAAAGCACGUUAAGUUGGGAGGAAGGGCAGUAAGUUAAUACCUUGCUGUUUUGACGGUACCAACAGAAUAAGCACCGGCUAACUUCGUG
rnacentral:rRNA from 1 species